rnacentral:rRNA from 1 species
ACUCCUACGGGAGGCAGCAGUAGGGAAUCUUCCGCAAUGGGCGAAAGCCUGACGGAGCAACGCCGCGUGAGUGAUGAAGGUCUUAGGAUCGUAAAACUCUGUUAUUAGGGAAGAACAAACGUGUAAGUAACUGUGCACGUCUUGACGGUACCUAAUCAGAAAGCCACGGCUAACUACGUGCCAGCAGCCGCGGUAAUACGUAGGUGGCAAGCGUUAUCCGGAAUUAUUGGGCGUAAAGCGCGCGUAGGCGGUUUUUUAAGUCUGAUGUGAAAGCCCACGGCUCAACCGUGGAGGGUCAUUGGAAACUGGAAAACUUGAGUGCAGAAGAGGAAAGUGGAAUUCCAUGUGUAGCGGUGAAAUGCGCAGAGAUAUGGAGGAACACCAGUGGCGAAGGCGACUUUCUGGUCUGUAACUGACGCUGAUGUGCGAAAGCGUGGGGAUCAAACAGGAUUAGAUACCCUGGUAGUCCACGC